GAUCCUGGCUCAUGAUGAACGCUACCUACAGGCUGAACACAUGCAAGUCGAGGGGAAACGACAUCGAAAGCUUGCUUUUGAUGGGCGUCGACCGGCGCACGGGUGAGUAACGCGUAUCCAACCUGCCCACCACUUGGGGAUAACCUUGCGAAAGUAAGACUAAUACCCAAUGAUAUCUCUAGAAGACAUCUGAAGGAGAUUAAAGAUUUAUCGGUGAUGGAUGGGGAUGCGUCUGAUUAGCCUGUUGGCGGGGUAACGGCCCACCAAGGCGACGAUCAGUAGGGGUUCUGAGAGGAAGGUCCCCCACAUUGGAACUGAGACACGGUCCAAACUCCUACGGGAGGCAGCAGUGAGGAAUAUUGGUCAAUGGACGAGAGUCUGAACCAGCCAAGUAGCGUGCAGGAAGACGGCCCUAUGGGUUGUAAACUGCUUUUAUAAGGGAAUAAAGUGAGUCUCGUGAGACUUUUUGCAUGUACCUUAUGAAUAAGGACCGGCUAAUUCCGUGCCAGCAGCCGCGGUAAUACGGAAGGUCCGGGCGUUAUCCGGAUUUAUUGGGUUUAAAGGGAGCGUAGGCCGGAGAUUAAGCGUGUUGUGAAAUGUAGACGCUCAACGUCUGCACUGCAGCGCGAACUGGUUUCCUUGAGUACGCACAAAGUGGGCGGAAUUCGUGGUGUAGCGGUGAAAUGCUUAGAUAUCACGAAGAACUCCGAUUGCGAAGGCAGCUCACUGGAGCGCAACUGACGCUGAAGCUCGAAAGUGCGGGUAUCGAACAGGAUUAGAUACCCUGGUAGUCCGCACGGUAAACGAUGGAUGCCCGCUGUUGGUCUGAAUAGGUCAGCGGCCAAGCGAAAGCAUUAAGCCUCCCACAUGGGGAGCCCGCCUGCAACGGU
rnacentral:rRNA from 1 species